UGGUGGAGUGAUUUGUCUGGUUAAUUCCGAUAACGAACGAGAUCCAGACCGCUCACUAGGGGUGGUAAUCGUCUGAUAGGUGAAGGCUCUUUCUUUCGAGAUUGGGUUGGAUCUUUGACGCGUUGCUUGCCUCUUCUUAGCGGGACCGCUGGCGACUAGCCAGUGGAAGUUCUGGACAAUAACA
rnacentral:rRNA from 1 species